AAGGUCACGCGGAGCGCUGAGGCGGGGCUUGCCCCUCCCCCAACGCCGGGGGCACUACAGCGCCAGCACCGCGCGUCUGCGGAGGUCGUGACCCGGCCACUGUGAUGCAGAGAAGACGUAAAACAUGCAGAGCUUCACUCACAAUGAACUCUAUAGCAGACUUCUAAAAAUUAAGUCCACAAGCUGGCUGGAAGUGACUUGACACACCAGAAUGGUAGCUAAAGCUCUCAAGGGUGCCAAUAUUGCUUUCUAGGAAUCAUCAGAAAAUUUGACCCAGCUGGACCAUGAAAGAGCUCACUUGGACUGAUAACAAGAAUGUAUACUGUGUCAUACCCAGAUCAUCUUUAUCAUCACUGAAAAAUUAACUAAUUAUUCUGAAACCAUCUCUAUUUAUUGACCAAUACUGUACAGGAUAUCUCUAGUAUUGGUGUGAAUCUCAUUACUCAAACACAUUGCAAUUACAUUUAUCUAUAAUUACCGAAAAGGAUUUUUAAAAAACGAAUGUAACAGAAAUUUACUGGCUGUAUAGCAACAAAGCUUCCACCAGAAAAAAGCUAUAGCUAAUAUAUACCAAAUUCAGAGUCAGCUUACAAACUAAGAAACAAAUAAAACAGUAACAUAUAUAAACCAGUUUUAGGUAUGUAGGGGGGAAAAUAUUUAGAUGAAAUAUUAUUAAAGUUCACUUUAUUUCUCCUGGCCAAGUGAAUUAAAAUGUCAUGUUACAAAAAAUAAGUGAUAUGCAACAUGUGAUACACAAAUCCUAUCAUUUUGUCUAAAUUUAAAAAUAAAUGUAGAUCAUUUAUUUGCAGCUGCUGCAAGUAAUCAUUUUCCACACAUUAGAAAACAGUAACCUCAGGAUGUUGAUAUUGAGAGGAAUGUAAGAUAGGAGUGACAGGAACAGAUCUGGAUGUCUUUCCCUAUCAACUGUCUCACAGCCAGACAGCAAAACCUACUAUCAAUCUCAGAAGUUCCAGUCCAAAUUAAAACAGUUUCCCUUCAAACUCUCUAGGACACCGGAGGGGGUGAUCUUUUCUUAUUGCCUGCUAUCUGAUGGGGCAGAGUUUGGGUACUCACUCGGUAACAAAGAAGGCUCAGAAAUGUUGGAAUCCACAGGUUCCUUGGCAGUUGGUCACCAAAAGAAAGCUCUCAGGAAAGUGCAAGUGACAGCAGGACUCCCCAUGAGGAGGAGGAAACAGGGAGUGAGGGAACGUUAAUAGCAAUCAGGUGAAAGUCUCUGAAGACAGUGUCAGGGAGUGAAAUGAAGCAAAGAAAUGGGAUGGAGCAAAAGCAGCAACUGGGAACAAAGUAGAUAAAGAGGAAAAACAGAGCGAAAACCCCACCUAAAAGUAUAAGCAUCUCCUGGAGGUUAUCAAGUCUUCCUGUGCUGAGUGUGACAUCAACUGGACAAGGGGGGAAGAGAUUGACGUCAUAUCUGGACUUUAAAAAAGCCUUUGAUCUGGUGUCCCAUGAUCUACUCUUGGAAAAAUUGGCCAACUGUGUCCUCGGCUGUAUCACAGUCCAGUGGCUGGGGAAUUGGCUCCGAGGCCAGACUCAGAGAGUGGUGGUUACAGAAGUGAAUCAUCAUGGUGCUCCGUGACCAGUGGUGUCCCCCAAGGCUCCAUCUUUGGACCUGUUCUCUGUAACAUCUUUAUCAACUACAUGGAUUCUGCUGUCAGAAGUGGACUGGCCAAGUUUGCUGAUGACACCAAACUUUGGGGUAGAGCAUCCACACCUGAUGAUAGGAAGGUGAUCCAGGCUGACUUGGGUAGGCUGAAAAAGUAGGCAGAUACAAACCUGAUGAUAUUCAAUACCGACAAAUGUAAGGUACUCCACCUUGGGGGAAAAAAACCCGCAGCAUGUUUAUAGGCUCAACAGUGCUACAUUCGCUAGCACCAAGGCCAAAAGAGACUUGGGGGUCAUGACAGACCACAAGAUGAACAUAAGCCACCAAUGCAAUGCUCCAGCAGGUAAAGCAAACCAAACUCUGGCUUGCAUCCAUAGACGCUUCUCAAGUAAAUCUCAGGAUGUCAUCCUCCUGCUGUACUCAGUCUUGGUGAGGCUGCAGCUGGAGUACUGCAUUCAAUUCUGGGCUCCACAAUUCAGGAAGGAUGUGGAGAAGCUUGAGAGAGUCCAGAGGAGACCCACAUGCAUGAUCAGAGGGCAAGAGAAUAGGCAUUAUGAAGAGAUGCCGAGAGCCAUGGGACUCCUCAGCCUGGCAAAGUACAGGCUCAGGGGUGACCUGGUGGCUGCCUAUAAGUACAUCAGGGGUGUGCAUCAGGAUCUGGGGGAACAUCUGUUCACCAAAGUGCCCCAAGGGAUGACAAGAACCAAUAGUCUUGGAGAAACUCCUCCAAGACCAUUUUAGGCUGGACAUAAGGAAAAACUUCUUUACUGUCCAAGCCCCCAGGGUCUGGAAUAGGCUCCCGCCAGAGGUGGUGCAAGUCCUACUCUGGACUCCUUUAAGAAGCAUUUGGAAGCUUAUCUGGCUGGGAUCCUUUGACCCUAGCUGACUUCCUGCCCUUGGGGCAGGGGGCUGGACUCAAUGAUCUCCCAGGGUCUCUUCCAGUCCUAAUGUCUAUGAAACACAAGGAAGAAACACUACAUAGAAAUCCCAGGUAGAGUCUGAUUGGACAGGGAAAGGUACAAGGUUGGUCCAAGUAGCAAAGACGAAGCUGCAAUAUGAAAAAAGGCUGAGAACCAUGGUUUUACAUGGUGCAUGUGAUUUUGAGGACUGCAGCAAUAAAUAGCAUUAAUGAAUCUACAGUUAAUGCCACGAAUGGCGUGUGCCCCCAGUGGCUGGGAGGGCACAGCUGCGCUGGCAGCAGCUCAGCGUCAGUAUGCGCAGAGCUCCUGCAGGCACUACACGUGCACACCCUAUGCAUUGCCCCUGGUUAAUGCUUCACCAAAUUCCUUAGAAAUAACUUGUAUGCUGCUCAACAGACAUUUGUUUGAUCACCUACAUUUGAAGGCUGUUCUUCAAUGCAAGUACACCUGGGAUUUCUUGCUCCAUCAUUUCACUCUUUGCUAAACAGCAUCUCUUCUCACAUUAUAUUAUGUCCAUACACAAAAUAAGCUUAAUUGUCUUUUUUAAGACUGAGCAGUAGUUAACUUUUUUGUAUAUGCUUAUGGUAAUUAAGUUACAUUCACUAAUUUUUGUUCGUUUCUUUGAAAACUUGCAUCUAUUUUUCUUCACAUUUUCAUUCUCUCAUUCAUGUACAUAGGGAGACUGGAAAUUUUGUAUUUCAGGGAACUCUUUUAAGAGUUCAGUUUUCUCCUCACUUUAAACAGGGUAUUUUGGAAGGUGUUCACAUCUCUAUUCCUCUAUGUCUUUAGCUUCAACUUUCCAAUUUCUUGAUUCACUUCUCCACAAGAGAAUUAAAGAUACAUGAUUGUCUAUUUGUAAACCAAAUUCCUCCUACAGGCAGUAUUAUGCCAGGUGGAGCAGCACAUAUUGGGAUCCUACAACAUAUUCAAUUCUGCUCUCAAUGGCUGGGAAUACUGAUGAACUAUGGAAGAGAGAAGGGUUAAUGAGACAUUUGCUACUGCUGCUAUUUUAGUGGGCUAUGUAUGUUAGAAAAAUAAAGCCUGAGUGCAAGUGUUUUGUGUAGCCCCAAAAAUCUAGAUACAGGUUUCUCAGUUAUACUCCCCACCCUUCAAAUAGGAAAGUGGGCUGAUCUUCCUAUCAAAUUCCAUAGUCUGCACCUAACUUACUGCUAUUUGUACUGCUGGGUAUUUCAUUGGUGUCCCUUUAUCAUAUAUGGGGCUUCAGAACAUUUAAUUCCAGCAGCCAGAGGUAAUCUUCUAUGCAAUACAACAUUUGUGCCAGUUAUCCUCUUCUUACAGAUAAGACUCAUCUUAAUAUAUUUUUUUUUUUUAACCACGAUGUGUUAUCUUGUUGGGUACUUUUCUGUGCUUCUCCUUGAUAUAAGCGAAAGGUGCAAUACAAAUUGACAAAUAUAAUUUAAUAAAAACAAAUUUAAAAUUUG